GCGUUCACUUCAGCAGCACGUAGACGAAAAUUAGAAUGAAACAUUGAAGAUUAGCAUGACCCCUACAUGAAGAUAAUACACAUAUCCCGAGAACAACUCAUUGUGUGU